rnacentral:lncRNA from 1 species
UUUUUUUGACUAAAUAAAAGAUAUUCAUUCAUUCAAAUUGAUAAGAGUACAUCGAUGCAAUACAAAUCAAAAUCGCUAAAAACAAAAAGGAUGAAUCUGCGAACAAACUCACAGCAUCCGUGUUAAUAGCAUCAAACGGCAUAUUGCAAAAUCCUACAUAUUUGACUAUAUUGAAGUUUCCGAAACAUUCAUGUCGCCGGAUCUGUAGCGUUGAUGGUACAAAAGUCAUUGAUUGGAUCUGCACUGGAUCAACCUUAAUCUUCAAACCUGAAACAAAUGAACACCGCACAAAGACGGGACAACAAUACUCCGN